UACGGAGGAUGCGAGCGUUAUCCGGAUUUAUUGGGUUUAAAGGGUGCGCAGGCGGGAGAUUAAGUCGGCGGUGAAAUUUUGCAGCUCAACUGUAAAAGUGCCAUCGAUACUGGUUUCCUUGAGUUUAGAUGAUGUGGGCGGAAUGUGUCAUGUAGCGGUGAAAUGCAUAGAGAUGACACAGAACACCGAUAGCGAAGGCAGCUCACAAAGCUAUUACUGACGCUGAUGCACGAAAGCGUGGGGAU
rnacentral:rRNA from 1 species